GUCUUCUCCAGCUCCCAGCAAGCAGAAGCCUGGACACUGGGAGAAAGGAGUGGAAUAGGGUGCCUUGGUGCAUGUAGGAGGCCCACAGGUACAUCCGCCACUCUAAUAGGAACAGGAAGAGAGAUGUGGCAGAACUGCAGAGGGGAGCCAUGAUGCUGGGACCUGGGGUGCAAAGUGCAAAGGGCACAAGAGACGAGAGGAAACUCUGAGAGGCUUCCUGGAAGAGGCAAAGCAGAAAGACUGGGCCAAACUACCCCUGGACCAGCCCAAACAGAAGCAAAAACUAAGUCUGAUAGUCCAAGUGGCCAAACACACCCAUCCAAAGAGAUCUCUGUGUGCCGAUAUUAACAGCAGCACAAUUUCUAAUAGCCAAAACCUAGAAACAACCCAGGUGUCCAACAACAGAUGAGUGGCUGAGAAAGUUAGAAUCUAGGUACACAAUGGAAUACCACUCCACUAUUAGGAAUGAUGGAUGCACCUAAUCUUGGAUGGAGCUUGAAAGAAUCAUGUGAGUGAGAUCAUCCAGCAAGAGAAGGAUGAAUAUGGGAUGACCUCAUUCUCCUGGGCAGAACUUAAGAAACACGAAUGAACGGAAAGGGGAAACACAAGAAAAAGCUGGGACUGGGUUUGGUGUGUUGCAUCAAAGCAAAGGAAUCUGGGGAAGGAGGGGAGGUGGGAGAGGAGGUGGCUUUCAGGUCCUGAUAUACAAUGGUGGGCCUGAGUUGGGGGUGAGAGCAUCUUGCAGACACCUAUGAUGGUGAGAUAAGAAAUCGUACCCACCAACAUGGCAACCUCUCUCUGUCUCUCCAACGUCCCCUUGCUUCCUUGCUCUCAGAGCUAAGCUCCCUCUCUGGAUCCCUACAGGAAUGGCCACGUGUAAAGACCAGCUCACCACUGGACAUGAGCCCAAGAGACACCUUCUGGCCUGUCCUGUCCAAAGUCUCUAUUUCAUGAUAGAGUUAAUAGGGUUCCAGGGUCUCGCCUAAACCAAGAACCAAAACCCAGCUCUCUAGACUCUUCUGUCUACUACCCUGCCCUUGGGGGAUGGGCAGGAAGCACAGGUGCAUAUGGUGGUGACAAGACUCAAACCCAGAGAGACACAGGAACCAGGGUCUCUAUUCCAGAGCAAACAACACACAUAUAAACAGCUAUUUAGUAGCUACCACCAUGGGACAGACAGGUAGACUGUGAGCUAAUAAUGUGUUGGUGAAUGAGUUAUCUAUUGGUAUGUGAUAGAUAACUCCCGGAUUGAGUAGUUUAGAUAAAAAUAACAACAGCUUCUGACUGUCUCUGUGGACUAGGAAGCCUAGCUGCGAGAGGUUACGAUUCAGGAUCCUGUGCAAGGUUGCCAUCUAGGAUCUAGGCAUUGGUUGGGCCUGAAGCCAGCAGAGGACUGAAGAGGAGACUGAGAACUGACUGGCAGGGCAGCCCACUCCCAAGGUGGACACCACGCUCACUGGAAGCCUCAGUUCCUCCCAACUGGACCUCGGCAGAACCGCUUGAGCGCUCUCACAAGAUGGCCGCCAAGCAAUCCAAGAGAGGGUAAAGAUGGAGGCUCUUCAGGACCCUCCAAGGUCACUUCACAGUAUCUGGCUGAUAAACCAGGCCAGUCCAAUUCCAUAUGAAGGUGAGGGAGGAACCACACAAGAGCAGAAAUACCAGAGAUGGGAUCACAGAGGGACGACCUGGAACGUGGCCGCCAUGGUUGGUGAACACAGAGAUGGGGGAUGGUGUUCACCAUGAUGUUUACCACCUCCUGACUGGUCACAUGCCAGUGGGACAUGGCGGAGAACACAGGCCACAGAGAGCAAGCCAUGGAGUCACGGUGUGCCUUUAGGAGUGAUAAUAGCAGAGAAGACCCCACAGGCUCUCCCCAGACUCCUCACCACUUGUCAGCCAGGCUUCCAGUGUUGGACCAAGUUACUGAGAUUUCAGUAGCUUGGCCAACCUCCAGAAACCUCACCCCUCCUGCCCUCUCCGUGGAUCAUUUAUUCCAACAGCCUGGCUAUAAAUAUCCACUGAGUGAGACGCCUAGGUCCUUGGGCACCCUCCAUUCCAACCCCCUCCCCCCCCAUCUGCCUGCACCCUGUCCCAGCCAUGCCAGCCUGCAAUCAGUCUGCGAUCUGAGCCCACUCUGCACACCCAGCACCACCCGGCUGCCCAGGCUGGUCUGCAGGAGAGCCCUGGCAGGCCCCCAAGAUUUCUAUUGCUAGAAGGUAAAGCUUUGGAAAAGAGAGUCUUGUUUAUCUGCCUGGAUCUAGGAAGAGCAGGGCUCCACCUAAGUGGCCCUUGAGAAGAUCAGGAUGAAUGAGACCCGCCAGACACAAGAAGACAAGGAUUGCGAGACACCCUAACACAAGCAAUGCAGAGGAUUUACAUUCACAAACACAGAAAGCAAAGCAAAUCACGAUCUAGAGACGACCAGGGAACAGGAAGACUUGUGCUGAGCAGAGACAGCUUCAUGUGAAGGACCUGAAAAAGUUCUGGGUGGUGACAGUCACACAAGAAUAUCAGCAUGGGGGGGGGGGGCUGGGUGGUGGUGCACCCAGCAGAGUGCUCACCUUACCAUAAGCAAAGCACCUGGUUCAGGCCCCCGCUCCCCACCUGCAGGGGGUAAGUCUGCAGGUGUCUCUCUUUUUCUCUCCCUCUCCACCUUCCCUUCCUCUCUCAAUUUCUAUCUCUCCUACCUAAAAAAUUUUAAAAGGGAAGGAAGGAAGGAAGGAAGGAAGGAAGGAAGGAAGGAAGGAAGGAAGGAAGAGGUGGAUAAAAAAAAAAAAGGCCACUGGGACAGAUGGAUUUGUCAUGCAGGCUCCGAGCCCCAGCAAUAACCCUGGUGACAAUGAAAAUAGAAUGGAAUAAGGAAGGGGAGGGAGGGGGAGGGGGAGGGACAGAGAGAGAAAGAGAAUAUGUCAGUGCGUUUCAUGCCUCUGAAUUGGACACUUAAAAAGACUUCAAAUUGGGGCUGGGUGGUGACACACCUGGUUGAACGUACAUGUUACCAUGUGCAAGGACCGAGGUUCGAGCUCCUGGUCCCCAUCUGCAUGGGGGAAAGCUUUGCUGCAGGGCUGCAGGUGUCUCUCUGACUGUCUCCCUCUCUAUCUCCCCAUUCCCUUUCAUUUAUGGCUGUGUCUAUCCAACACACAAAGAUAAUUAAAAAAAAAAUCAUCAUAAUAUUUUUUUAAAACUUCAAAUUGCAGGCAAGGGAGAUAACAUAAUUGCCAAUGGGAUGUUAUAUAUCUUUUACCACAAUUUCAGAGAGAGGGAGAGAGAAUGAAGCCCUUAGAGUCAGUCUACCUAGCUGAGACCUUGGCCUCACCAUCUCACCUGAGCACAUAGGAAACCCAACAGGGUGGGGGUGGGGCGGUCACUUAGUUGCCACCUGUGUGACAUGGGACAGUGGUGGCCAGGGAGGUGAAUUAUCAGGGAGAGCACAGGACUGGCAUGUGUGAGGUCCCAGGUGUGAUCUCUAUGAUUGCAUAGGCUGGGGCGGUGCUUUGG